rnacentral:rRNA from 1 species
CCUACGGGAGGCAGCAGUGGGGAAUAUUGCACAAUGGGGGAAACCCUGAUGCAGCGACGCCGCGUGAGCGAUGAAGUAUCUAGGUAUGUAAAGCUCUAUCAGUAGGGAAGUAAAUGACGGUACCUGACUAUGAAGCCCCGGCUAACUACGUGCCAGCAGCCGCGGUAAUACGGAGGGGGCAAGCGUUAUCCGGAUUUACUGGGUGUAAAGGGAGCGUAGACGGUCCUGCAAGCCAGUUGUGAAAGUCCGGGGCUCAACCGCAGGACUGCAUUUGAAACUGUAAGGCUAGAGUAUCGGCGAGGCAGGCGGAAUUCCUAGUGUAGCGGUGAAAUGCGUAGAUAUUAGGAAGAACACCAAUGGCGAAGGCAGCCUGCUAGACUAUGACUGACGUUGAGGCUCGAAAGCGUGGGUAGCAAACAGGAUUAGAUACCCCAGUAGUC